AGUGAACGCUGGCGGUAGGCCUAACACAUGCAAGUCGAACGGCAGCACAGUAAGAGCUUGCUCUUACGGGUGGCGAGUGGCGGACGGGUGAGGAAUACAUCGGAAUCUACUUUUUCGUGGGGGAUAACGUAGGGAAACUUACGCUAAUACCGCAUACGACCUACGGGUGAAAGCAGGGGAUCUUCGGACCUUGCGCGAUUGAAUGAGCCGAUGUCGGAUUAGCUAGUUGGCGGGGUAAAGGCCCGCCAAGGCGACGAUCCGUAGCUGGUCUGAGAGGAUGAUCAGCCACACUGGAACUGAGACACGGUCCAGACUCCUACGGGAGGCAGCAGUGGGGAAUAUUGGACAAUGGGCGCAAGCCUGAUCCAGCCAUACCGCGUGGGUGAAGAAGGCCUUCGGGUUGUAAGGCCCUUUUGUUGGGAAAGAAAAGCAGCAGGCUAAUACCCCGCUGUUCUGACGGUACCCAAAGAAUAAGCACCGGCUAACUUCGUG
rnacentral:rRNA from 1 species